GACGAACGCUGGCGGCGUGCUUAACACAUGCAAGUCGAACGGAAAGGCCCUGCUUUUGUGGGGUGCUCGAGUGGCGAACGGGUGAGUAACACGUGAGUAACCUGCCCUUGACUUUGGGAUAACUUCAGGAAACUGGGGCUAAUACCGGAUAGGAGCUCCUGCUGCAUGGUGGGGGUUGGAAAGUUUCGGCGGUUGGGGAUGGACUCGCGGCUUAUCAGCUUGUUGGUGGGGUAGUGGCUUACCAAGGCUUUGACGGGUAGCCGGCCUGAGAGGGUGACCGGCCACAUUGGGACUGAGAUACGGCCCAGACUCCUACGGGAGGCAGCAGUGGGGAAUAUUGCACAAUGGGCGGAAGCCUGAUGCAGCAACCCCGCGUGCGGGAUGACGGCCUUCGGGUUGUAAACCGCUGUCGCCUGUGACGAAGCGUGAGUGACGGUAAUGGGUAAAGAAGCACCGGCUAACUACGUG
rnacentral:rRNA from 1 species